rnacentral:rRNA from 1 species
GACGAACGCUGGCGGCGUGCUUAACACAUGCAAGUCGAACGGUGAAGCGCCUUCCUUUUUGGUGGGUGUGGAUGAGUGGCGAACGGAUGAGUAACACGUGAAUAACCUGCCCCCUUCUUCUUGAUAACCGCAUACAAGAGUUACUACUACGGGACAUUCUGUGUCUCUUGCCUGUUGGGUCUGAGAAGGAUAUUGUUUCGUUGGAGGAUGGGCUCGCGGCCUAUCAGCUUGUUGGGGGGGUGAUGGCCUACCAAGGCGGUGACGGGGAGCCGGCCUGGGGGGGUGGACGGUCACACUGGGACUGAGACACGGACCAGACUGGUACGGGGGGGAGCAGUGGGGAAUAUUGCGCAAGGGGCGCAAGCCGGAUGAAGCGACGCCGCGUGAGGGAGGGAGGCGUUCGGGUUGUGAUCCUCUUUCGCCAGUGAGGCAGGGCUGCCUCGUUUGUGAGUGGGUUGACGGUAGCUGGAUAAGAAGCGCCGGCUAACUACGU